AUGCCAACUUUCGCAUUGUCUGUCCUUCGAGUGCCAAAGAAACUACUCAAGGAAAUUGAAGAAUGCCGACGUAGAUUCCUCUGGAAACAAGAUGAGGAGAUCACAGGUGACAGCUGCAAGGUUAAUUGGUCGGCGGUGUGCACUCCCACAACGCAUGGAGGACUAGGGAUCCUCGACCUCGAGCGUUUCAGCCAUGCCCUUAGACUGCGGUGGCUUUGGAUCUCCUGGACUGACCCGGAGCGGCCAUGGGUUAGCAUGGAGCUGCCAUGCAACGCCAACUACAAGGCACUCUAG
rnacentral:rRNA from 1 species